rnacentral:rRNA from 1 species
AUUGAACGCUGGCGGCAGGCCUAACACAUGCAAGUCGAGCGAGCGGCGGACGGGUGAGUAAGGUAGGGGGACUGCCCGAUAGAGGGGGAUAACUACUGGAAACGGUAGCUAAUACCGCAUACUAUCGGAUAACCCAUAUGGGAUUAGCUUGUAGGUGAGGUAAUGGCUCAACUAGGCGACGAUCCCUAGAUGGUCUGAGAGGAGGAUCAGCAACACGGGGAGUGAGACACGGCAUAGACUCCACCGGAGGCAGGAGUGGGGAAUAUGGGACAAUGGGCGCAAGCCUGAUGCAGCCAUGCCGCGUGUAUGAAGAAGGCCCUAGGGUUGUAAAGUACUUUCAGUCGGGAGGCGUUACCGACAGAAGAAGCACCGGCUAACUCCGUGCCAGCAGCCGCGGUAAUUC